rnacentral:lncRNA from 9 species
GAGUGCUUGGCGCAAGCGCCUGAAGCGCACUGCGGCGAUCCGGCGGAGGCGGUGCUCUCCUGGCAUCAGCGCUGCGGCUGGAGGCACUGCUGGUGCUCCUGUCUGCUGUCCACUGCCACCUUGGCCUGUUUUUGCCACCCUGGCGCCCCGAACUCUGUGCCGCCGCACCCUUCACCCAGUCUUGGGACGGCUGGCGCUAAGAAUUCAUGCUAUGACCUUCGAUUCAGCCAGGAGGUGACACCAAGCUCGAUCAGAAACUAUGCCACUGGUGAAGAGGUAUAUUGAGCCCUGCGUGGCCCAGUGAGGUUACUAGAGAAUUGGAAGAGUCUCAAAUCAGCAUCCUGCACAUGGUUAUCAAACCAUUGUGAAGUCUUAGUAAGUGGUCAGUGGCUCUGGUGGGCUUGCCCAGUUAGUGUCUUAACAGGCACUAGGCAGUUACUUGAUAUUUUCCCAUUAUGAUAUGAAAAAGUUUUUUGUUUUUUGUUUUUUUAGGGCUGUACCCGUGGCAUAUGGAGGUUCCCAGGCUAGGGUUCAAAUUGGAGCUGUAGCUAUAUGCAGGCCUACACCACCCACAGCUAUAGCAACUUGGGAUCCGAGCUGCGUCUGCAACCUACGCCACAGCUCACGAGAGUGCUGGAUCCUUAACCCACUGAGAGAGGCCAGGGAUUGAACCUGUGUCCUCAUGGAUACUAGUUGUGUUCUUAACCCACUGAGCCACAAUGGGAACUCCAAAAAACAGUCUUUAUUUCAGACUAGAGAGUGAAGAGCCUAAUCUCUCUCUUUCCCCGUCUCCCAUUUUUGCAAUGAUAUCUUGCCCACCAUAAUAGUUGGUGUAGAAAAUGGAUUUGAAUCCAAGCCCAAUAUUGUUUCUUCCACCUAGUGCUUCCUCUAGAUUCCACCUAAGUCCAAGGAGGCGAUGUGAGACAGAAACAUUUUUAUUCCACAUGGAAAGAUUAUAAUAGCCUCUGACAUUGUGCUCCUCUGAUGAAGGAAAUGUCCAUGGUAUAAAUUUUUAUUGUGCAUAAAAUCACCUGGGAAGCUUGUUAAAAAUGCAGAUUCCUAGGCAGCUAGAAGCCUUGUCAUUGGUCCAGAGCAACAUGAAGACCUACCUGUCACUUACACUGAGGCUUCCUGCCCAGUGGGUUCACCAGCAAGCCAGAAGGAAGCAUCACUGCCAUGGAUGUCCUUGUGAGGCAGUUGUGAAGCCUUGGUUAUCAAACCAAGAGAAGUCCAAAACUCAGCCAAGAAUGGCCACCCAGACAGAGAGAUUCCUGGGAGCCAAACUGCCAUCAAGUCAACUGUCUUGCCCCAGAGGUUUCUUUCCAGGUUCAGCUUUGGAAAUUCAGACCCCUCUACUUUCAGGUCUUCAGCCUCCAUUUGACUUUCCAUCUUGUCCACUGAGGAUAGCAGAGUUAAGUCAGGAAAAGAAAAUGGCUGUCCACAGAGGGAGAAUUGAUCACUGUCUGUUCUUCAAAGAUGCUUUUCUGGCCGUGGUUGGGGCUAUUAGUGCUCACUGCCUGGACAGAGACCUGUUUCAACAGGAGACUUCUUUGGGAUUGAGAAGCUUUCUUUCUACUUAUUGGCUUUCACCCUUGACUUGGCCUUGAAGUUUUGGAAUUUCUAGCUCUCAAGUUUUUUCAGGAGAGCUUUAGAAACAACUUGUCAAGUUUUCACCACAAAUACCAUUGGAGUUACAAUUGGAGUCUCACUGAAUUAUACAGUAAUUUUUGGAGAGCUAUCAUCUUUAUAAUCUUCUCAUACAUGAAUGUGUCUUGGCUACUUGUAGAUGUUGCAUUGCUGCUGCCGCUGCUGCUGUUACUACAACUACAAUUGCUGCCAGUUGCUCCUUGCGUAGGACCAGAGUGAUCAUUCAUCAGAAACCUCAUCCUCACAGUCUGGGGUUUGUUCCUGUGGCUGGUAUUCACAGUUUUCCCCUUCCAACUUUACCUCAGCUAUCCCCUUACCUACAUUAACAGGAGUUGCUGGUAGAAGACUUCAUGAAGGAGAGAAGAAAAGGAAAAAAUCAGAGGAUGACUACAGCCUCCUUCAUCUCAGCUUUGCAAAGCAUUACUCAACAGAGGGAUCACUCUCUUGAAUACUCUCCAGACCACAGGCCAUCAGUCUAUUACAGGCUCUAACUGGGAGGAGCCUUAUUGUGAAUGAAGCUUCGGUGGGUGCUAGGAGUAACACCGUGUUUCUCUGGAUAUGAGAAGAAUGGAGGGCAGAGAGCAAGGGAAGGAAGCUAUGAAAUAUUGGAGUAACAAAUGCUUGACGUUUUAGUGGGUAUUGGACCUAGAAGCCUAUAUGAUUGAAGGAAGCAAACCUGAGAGGUCUGAUGUUUGUGAGUGAAGAUAGGCGUGAACUCCUUAUUGCAAUUAAAAAUGGAGUGAGGGGGAGGAGAAAAAUGACAGAAAUCAUAAGAUCCAUUACUUCAGUGAAGGAAGCACUGAGACUUGCUUCAUAAACCUGUAAUUUUUAAAGGUAGAUUGAAGAUAAGUUGUUGUGCUGCACUAUUUCUAUUCCUACCCGUGAGAGUUACUGCCAGCCACUCUUCUCAGGUAGAUCUGCCUUUAUGGAAAUUUCUGUUGACCCACGUAAAGAAACAACCCAGAAAAACAUUUGCAACAUUGAAGAACUCUGGUUCAGUGACAGGGUGUUAAAGGAGUUGAGGAUAGAGGAAAUAGCUCAAGUAGUACCAAAUAGCUCAGGUUGGCUUUUUUUUUUCUUUUUAAUAGGAUGAUUGGGCCAGAGACAGUGGGCAGAAUGACUUCAGGCAACCCCAAACGCCAGAUAUGGCAUAAGGAAACAGUUUAAGGAAAAGGUCAAUCCUUGGACCUAGUAUUUGUGAUGCAAUAUCUUAAAUUAAAAGGAAGAGCUGCUUUGGAGAAGGGUUUUAAAAGAUUGUAUUUCAUAGAAAGAAGAAAGAUUUAGAGGAGAAACUUCCAAUUAUAUAAGAUGGGCAUUAUAACUUUUAAAGACAUCUGUUGCCUACAUGGGUCAUAGAGAUUGAUACCAGUAUCAGCCUGUGGCUGACUAGGCCAGUUUAAGUGGUUUCCUGUUUGAAGAGAGAUGCUGCCAUUCUCUCACUUUGGCAGGUAUUCACCUGCAAUGAGUCCAGUACCUGGAGGAGCAAGAAAAAAACAAGCAUCCAGGGGGACAAUAGUAUAGCCUUCUGAGUUAAGAUAGCAACUGAAAAGAUCAUGGGAUUGGCUGCACUGGGCUGGGCUUGUUUGUUUUUUCAAAAUAAAAAAGUUUUCUUUUUGAUGACAAAAGUAAGAGAUGAUCAUUGUUUAAAAAUAAAGUGAAAA